rnacentral:rRNA from 1 species
AGCGAACGCUGGCGGCAGGCUUAACACAUGCAAGUCGAGCGGACCUUUCGGGGUCAGCGGCGGACGGGUGAGUAACGCGUGGGAACGUGCCUUCCGGUUCGGAAUAACCCUGGGAAACUAGGGCUAAUACCGGAUACGCCCUUAUGGGGAAAGGUUUACUGCCGGAAGAUCGGCCCGCGUCUGAUUAGCUAGUUGGUGGGGUAACGGCCUACCAAGGCGACGAUCAGUAGCUGGUCUGAGAGGAUGAUCAGCCACACUGGGACUGAGACACGGCCCAGACUCCUACGGGAGGCAGCAGUGGGGAAUAUUGGACAAUGGGCGCAAGCCUGAUCCAGCCAUGCCGCGUGAGUGAUGAAGGACUUAGGGUUGUAAAGCUCUUUUAUCCGGGACGAUAAUGACGGUACCGGAGGAAUAAGCCCCGGCUAACUUCGUG